GUUCGGCGAGGUUAAGGGCCUAAGGUCCGGAGCCGAAGGGAAACCGAGUGUGAAUAGCGCGACUUAAGUCGAGCGGAGUAGACCCGAAAGCGAGUGAUCUAUCCAUGGGCAGGCUGAAGCGGAUGUAACAGUCCGUGGAGGGCCGAACGGGUAUAGGUUGAAAACUGUUCCGAUGACCUGUGGAUUGGAGUGAAAGGCUAAUCAAACUCGCAGAUAGCUGGUUCUCCCCGAAAUAGCUUUCGGGCUAGCCUCUGGUGAUAGUUAGCGGGGGUAGAGCUACUGAUUGGGAUAGGGGCCCUUCGGGGUACCCUACUCAACCAAACUCCGAAUACCGCUAACCGUAUCCAGGGAGUCAGUCUAUGGGCGAUAAGGUCCGUGGACGAGAGGGAAACAACCCAGACCACCGGCUAAGGUCCCGAAUGGGUGCUAAGUGUAGCAAAGGAAGUGAAGUCUCUAAGACAGCCAGGAUGUUGGCUUAGAAGCAGCCAUCAUUUAAAGAAAGCGUAAUAGCUCACUGGUC
rnacentral:rRNA from 1 species